UACGUAGGGCGCAAGCGUUGUCCGGAAUUAUUGGGCGUAAAGAGCUCGUAGGCGGUUUGUCGCGUCUGCUGUGAAAACCUAAGGCUCAACCUUGGGCUUGCAGUGGGUACGGGCAGACUAGAGUGCGGUAGGGGUGACUGGAAUUCCUGGUGUAGCGGUGAAAUGCGCAGAUAUCAGGAGGAACACCGGUGGCGAAGGCGGGUCUCUGGGCCGAUACUGACGCUGGAGGAGCGAAAAGCGUGGGGAGCGAACAGG
rnacentral:rRNA from 1 species